rnacentral:lncRNA from 1 species
AGAAACAAAUGAACAAUCUCUGCAAGUUUUUAUCUUUAAUCUUUAUCUUUGCAGCGAUGAUUGUGGGUUUUUACUUAAAAUCAAGAAGACCCAAUCGGGAUUACUUAAUUACUACUCAUCAUCAAUUCAUUAUGACAUUAUCUGUUAAUUAAUUCAUCUGAUGAGUUGUAAUUGUGUAAAAAUAACAUUAAAUAAUGAUUCGUUGCAUGCAGUGGUGGUUCGCUGCACAUGGAGUGAUGGUGGAGAGUAAGCCGGAAGACCUCAAAUGCUCAUCAAUAUCCCUUAAGUACUUUGCACGCAUUCUUUGUCAGGACCGGUCAGUUAACCAACCAGACUACAUUGACGUCGGUGAAAUCAAUUUCCUAUAAUCGAGGUGUUUUUUUGAAAAUAAUCCAGAAAAAAUCCAAAGUUUGAUUGAAUUCCAAAUCUUAUAAUUGAUACUGAAUUAAAAGGUUAGAUUUCGCAGACAGGCUCGCAGUUGGUGAAAUGUCGACAUGCGUUCACGUGGCAAUGUGGCGCGGAAGGCGACAUUAACAAGGCAUUAAUAUUUCCGUUUUAAAAUAUUCACAGCUUGGCGGUCAAGGCAUUCAUGCCAAAAUGAUUAAUUUAACAGACCUCGAUGCAUUG